rnacentral:tRNA from 1 species
GGAAAUGUGGCUUAGUGGUAGAGUGCUUGCCUAGCAUGCACGAGGUCCUGGGUUCAAUUCCUCAGUACCA